AUAUAUAUAUAUAUAUAUUCCUUUAACCUAUCAUCUGUAGUACUUUUUUCCCCUUAAUUUCUUAAAAAAUUUAUCUACCAUUUGUAGUAGGCUGCUUUAUGAUGGUGUCUAAUUCCCAAUUCAUUUGGACUCUUGCGUUUGGUCAUGGGUAAAAAUUAUAGGUAUUAGAUCUAGAAACUCUUCUGCCAGUUCAGAUUACCUUGAAAUAGGUUCUAAUUGGAUCUCUGUGCCUUUUUUGGGUGGGUGGGACUAUUGUUGCUCUUUGUUCAUAAGGUCUAUUGUGAAUGCUCUAUAUUUUUUAAAUUAAUGAGAAUUUAUGAUGCUAGCAAAAGCUUACUGUGCUGCUCCUCAUGCACGAAGCUCUCUGCUUUGUGAGGGUCAGGGUGGUUUGUAUAUUAAGGGAGCAACCUUUUGUUCUCUCAGGGCUCUCAUGUAAUGGAAAAUUUGAACUUGGUUGAGAACAAAGUCAAUGCUUUCUGAAAGAAACAGAAG
rnacentral:misc_RNA from 1 species